UGGGCUGUGGGAUAUCUGGACUUCUCUCAUUCUGGGUUUGGUCUCAGUGCUCUCCCUCUCCACGUGGUUCCUUUCUCCAGCAGGUAGCUGGACCCCUCACAUGGUAGCUCAGGGCCCCCCAAAGGGAGCAUUCCUAGGGGAGGAAGCAAAAACUUCCAGUCUCUUAAAGACUAAGCUUGGAACUAGCACAACGUCACUUCCACCACAUCUCAUUGGAAUUGGCUAGCCCUGGGAGGGGCAGUCCCUCCAAUGUCAGCAAGGCCCCAGAUGUCAAAGCACCAGAAAUACAGAAAUAAAAAGCCAUGAUUAAUGCAUAAA